rnacentral:rRNA from 1 species
CCUACGGGUGGCAGCAGUGAGGAAUAUUGGUCAAUGGACGAGAGUCUGAACCAGCCAAGUAGCGUGAAGGAUGACUGCCCUAUGGGUUGUAAACUUCUUUUAUAUGGGAAUAAAAUGUUCCACGUGUGGGAUUUUGUAUGUACCAUAUGAAUAAGGAUCGGCUAACUCCGUGCCAGCAGCCGCGGUAAUACGGAGGAUCCGAGCGUUAUCCGGAUUUAUUGGGUUUAAAGGGAGCGUAGGGGGAUUGUUAAGUCAGUUGUGAAAGUUUGCGGCUCAACCGUAAAAUUGCAGUUGAUACUGGCAGUCUUGAGUACAGUAGAGGUGGGCGGAAUUCGUGGUGUAGCGGUGAAAUGCUUAGAUAUCACGAAGAACUCCGAUUGCGAAGGCAGUUCACUGGACUGCAACUGACACUGAGGCUCGAAAGUGUGGGUAUCAAACAGGAUUAGAUACCCGUGUAGUC